GACGAACGCUGGCGGCGCGCUUAACACAUGCAAGUCGAGCGAUGAAAUUUCGACAGAUCCCUUCGGGGUGAAGAUGAAAGGGAUUAGCGGCGGACGGGUGAGUAACACGUGAGUAACCUGCCUUUGACAUUGGGAUAGCCUCGGGAAACUGGGAUUAAUACCAAAUGACACUAACUGAUCACAUGAUCAAUUAGUCAAAGAAAUUCGGUCAAAGAUGGACUCGCGGCUGAUUAGCUAGUUGGUGAGGUAACGGGCCCCCCAGGCGACGAUCAGUAGCCGGGCAGAGAGGGUGGUCGGAGACAUUGGAGCUAGGACGCGGUGCAGACUCCUGCGGGAGGCAGCAGUGGGGAAUAUUGCACAAUGGGGGGAACGCUGAUGGAGCGACGCCGCGUGAGCGAAGAAGGCCUGCGGGUCGUAAAGCUCUUUUAUAAGGGAAGGUAAUGACGGUACCUAAAGAAAAAGCCCCGGCUAACUACGUG
rnacentral:rRNA from 1 species